rnacentral:rRNA from 1 species
UACGUAGGGUGCAAGCGUUGUCCGGAAUUAUUGGGCGUAAAGAGCUCGUAGGCGGCUUGUCACGUCGGGUGUGAAAGCCCGGGGCUUAACCCCGGGUCUGCAUUCGAUACGGGCUAGCUAGAGUGUGGUAGGGGAGAUCGGAAUUCCUGGUGUAGCGGUGAAAUGCGCAGAUAUCAGGAGGAACACCGGUGGCGAAGGCGGAUCUCUGGGCCAUUACUGACGCUCAGGUGCGACAGCGUGGGGAGCAAACAGG